rnacentral:tRNA from 1 species
GGAGAGGUGCCAGAGCGGUCGAAUGGGACGGUUUCGAAAACCGUUAACUCAGCAAUGGGUUCGGGGGUUCAAAUCCCUCCCUCUCCGCCA